rnacentral:sRNA from 1 species
GUUGCUGCUGCUGCUGCUGCAUCUGCAUCUGAUGUUGUUCCUGUUGCUGCAUCUGCAUCUGAUGCUGUUGCUGCUGCUGCAUCUGCAUC